GAUUACAACAACCCUCUCUGUAAUCGCGGCUG
rnacentral:ncRNA from 1 species